AACGAACGCUGGCGGCAGGCUUAACACAUGCAAGUCGAACGCCCCGCAAGGGGAGUGGCAGACGGGUGAGUAACGCGUGGGAACAUACCCUUUUCUACGGAAUAGCUCUGGGAAACUGGAAUUAAUACCGUAUACGCCCUACGGGGGAAAGAUUUAUCGGGGAAGGAUUGGCCCGCGUUGGAUUAGCUAGUUGGUGGGGUAAAGGCCUACCAAGGCGACGAUCCGUAGCUGGUCUGAGAGGAUGAUCAGCCACAUUGGGACUGAGACACGGCCCAAACUCCUACGGGAGGCAGCAGUGGGGAAUAUUGGACAAUGGGCGCAAGCCUGAUCCAGCCAUGCCGCGUGAGUGAUGAAGGCCUUAGGGUUGUAAAGCUCUUUCACCGAUGAAGAUAAUGACGGUAGUCGGAGAAGAAGCCCCGGCUAACUUCGUG
rnacentral:rRNA from 1 species